rnacentral:rRNA from 1 species
AACGAACGCUGGCGGCGUGCCUAACACAUACAAGUCGAACGAGAAAGGGGCUUCGGCUCCGAGUAGAGUGGCGCACGGGUGAGUAACACGUGGGUAACCUGCCUCUAAGAUUGGGAUAACUCGUCGAAAGAUGAGCUAAUACCGGAUAAGACCACAGUUCCUGCGGGAACAGGGGUCAAAGGUAGCCUCUGCUUGCAAGCUAUACCUUAGAGACGGGCCUGCGCACCAUUAGCUAGUUGGUAGGGUACCGGCCUACCAAGGCAAAGAUGGUUAGCUGGUCUGAGAGGAUGAUCAGCCACACUGGAACUGAGACACGGUCCAGACUCCUACGGGAGGCAGCAGUGGGGAAUAUUGCGCAAUGGGCGAAAGCUUGACGCAGCAACGCCGCGGGAGUGAUGAAGGCCUUCGGGUCGUAAAGCUCUGUCGGGAGGAACGAAUGCUCCUGAGGUUAACAGCCUCGGGAGGUGACGGUACCUCCAAAGGAAGCACCGGCUAACUCUGUGCCAGCCGCCGCGGUAA